rnacentral:lncRNA from 1 species
AUUUUGCAAUACAGAUUUAAUAACAAAGCAGAUCAAACGAAGCUGAGAAACUAUGCACAGAUGUGCCUCAAAUCCUAUGUAAACACUUUUCUUAGAGUUGUAAGGCACUUAAAUGACUUUUUAUGUAACCUCCUCUAGCAAUCUUAAUAUCAGGGUUUUCGUCCACAGAACAGCGUCCUUUGCGAAGGGGCAAAGCGUCCUCAUCUAGCCUUGCUCCUGACUGGCAGCAGCUUGCCUGGCACCCACCCCUGCCUAGGUGCGCGUUUGAUAAAUGUCUUGCCGGCGGCGACGUUCAGUUGCCAUUCUCCACCACGCCGUGCACCUGCUCAGCAUCUCGCAGUCUCCACGGCCAGUCCCCGAGCCCAGGACCCCUCCCUCGCCGCACGGCCCCCUCCGUUCAUCCCGCCCGGGCCCUGGCGGAAACUGCCCGACCCCAGGCGGGAGCGGCGGGGCGGGCGGGGAAAGUGCUCGUAAUCACAUGGAGGCCCGGGCCCGCCCCAUUGGCUGCGGCCGGGCCAGUCGCAGCGCUCGCAGGCUGCGGUUGGUCCCGGAGCUGCAGCGCCUGCUCGGGCCCGGAGUCCAUGUUACGCUUUGUCUAAUUCCCCUCGUUACAGAGUCAUGUGCUGCUGCUCCAGUCGCCGUCGCUGCCGCCGCCCGUGGUGCCCCGGCUCCUCCGCCGCGCUUCGAGGUGGCCGCCGCGGGCGGGGCCGCGGGAGCAGGGUCCAGGGCGCCGCGCACCCCCGCCGCCCCGGCGCGUCCCGGAGCAGCCGCCGCCUGCCGCAGGUGAUGCCUCCGCCUCCCGCCUCCGCCUAAGCCGUGGCUCGGCGGCCGAGCUGCCCCAAAGGAAGUGCACGGCCGGGGUCCCAGGAUGGAGGAGUGAAGUCUCGCGCCGCGGUCCCAGCCUCCGGAGCCCGCCCGAAGCCCAGUCCCCGAGAGCGCCCUGACGGAGCAGGGUGGCCGCCGGGUCCAGGCAUGCUACAUCAGCUGUUCAACAGACAUUUGCUGAUCUCCUUCCCUGUCUUCUUCCUACGUCCUUGCACUAGUCAUGGUACAGUAUUAAGUUCUGAGGAUACAAUAGCCAGCUUACCAUGGACUGAUACCUCUUCCACUAUGAGCCAAACAAACCAUUUCCUCCUUGAAGUUGUGUAUGUCAGGCACUUUUUCCCAGCAGUGGGAAAGCUGACUAAUAUGGUUUACUCGUCAAGCCAUUGGUUGUCUACUCCUCAUUUUAAGAACAAGAAUAACAACCCUAAAGCCCCAGAGGUGUGGUUGGCAUUAAAAGG